CAAAGGAAAAAUCUUCGUUGCUGGGAACCCCAAACCACGAACCUGCCCACCCCGAUGAGGUCUGCGACUACCGGACUGGACAGGGGGUAAAUCGUCCGAAGAAGAAUCCUUUGUUGCCAAAGGAAAAAUCUUCGUUGCGUGGAACCCCAAACCACGAACCUGCCCACCCCGAUGAGGUCUGCGACUACCGGACUGGACAGGGGGUAAAUCGUCCGAAGAAGAAUCCUUUGUUGCCAAAGGAAAAAUCUUCGUUGCGUGGAACCCCAAACCACGAACCUGGUAUGUAACGACAUAAUCUUAGUUAAUAAGAGAAUAUUAUUACAUACCAGAGGUACUUUAGGAUUAUGGGUGGUAGCUAGGUUACCACUCAAAAUCUCUCACUAGCAGCAAGCUGCCGAUGAUAUGCUGGCGAUCCACAAGAUGUGACAUUGAGGGAAAGAUUUGAAGAAACAGUAGUAAGAGAAUAAAAGAUUAUGUCAUUGAGAUAAAGGCAUGUGAACAUAGUUCACUGCCUGAGGUCUGUGGACAAUGUCCAACUACCUAACACAAUUAUUCAGGCCAAUGACUGCAUGGCACUGUAGAUAUACAAAUACUUUUAAUAAUCAACAGUCCACCGACUGGAAAACAAUUACGAGUCUGGUCAACUAGAAAUUCCUAGUGUGAACUGGGUGACCACAAUACCAGUCUCUUGUUCCCAGCUCAACCAAAACUCUCCCUCUCCCCCUCCUUCCAUUUGAAAUGACUGGCUGAUUACAGCAUGCUGUAACAGCUGAUUUCUGUCUCAACGAUCCUGUGACCUGUCUUUGGUGUUUUUUGCCUCUCACCUUGGCCAUUUUUUGUUGACUGUUUAACUAGAGUGUUACUGAUCGCAAUCCACAGGCCCACAUAUCCAUAGCAACCUGUUUGAUCCAGCACUCAGAAACUAUAACCAGUUUCCCCAUAAUUUUUGUUUAACAAUUGUUCUGUCACUAUUUCUGAUACAUUGCUGGUAGAACGUAAAUAAUCCUGGGACUUUGACACUGUUUGUUUGUCAUAUCCAAAUUUUUUUCUAACACAUUGGCCAUUUCCCACCAAGGUAGGAUUACCAAAAAAGAAGAAACACUUUCACCAUCAUUCAUUUUAUCACUCUCUUGACAGAGGCGAGCCAAUACUACAUUUCAGUUGCCUCUACUAACUUGAAAUGCUGCAAACCUCCUUGAGAGUGUAGGCACUGUUUCCCACCUUAAGGAUUCAAAUCUGGCUAACCAGUUUUCCUGAAUCCCUUCACAAAGUCACCAUGGUCACACUCCAACUGCUCAUAAAAUUCCAAAUGUCAUUGGCUUCCACUCCUAACAUGCCUGCUGGUUGUCCAAGCUCCUUACACACAAAAGCUCCUUUACCCACU